UGGGCGUGUAGCUCAGCGGGAGAGCACUACGUUGACAUCGUAGGGGUCACAGGUUCGAUCCCUGUCACGCCCACCAG
rnacentral:tRNA from 1 species